AUUGAACGCUGGCGGAAUGCUUUACACAUGCAAGUCGAACGGCAGCACGGACUACGGUCUGGUGGCGAUUGGCUAACGGGUGAGCAAUGUAUCGGAACGUGCCCAGUCGUGGGGGAUAACGUAGUGAAAAUUACGCUAAUACCGCAUACGCCCUAUGGAUGAAAGCGGGGGAUCGCAAGACCUCGUGCGAUGGGAGCGGCCGAUAUCAGAUUAGGUAAUUGGGGGGGUAAAGGCCCACCAAGCCAACGACCUGUAGCUGGUCUGAGAGGACGACCAGCCAAACUGGAACUACGACACGGUCCAGACUCCUACGGGAGGCAGCAGUGGGGAAUUUUGGACAAUGGGCGAAAGCCUGAUCCAGCCAUUCCGCGUGCAGGAUGAAGGCCCUCGGGUUGUAAACUGCUUUUGUACAGAACGAAAAGGUUUCUACUAAUACUAGGAGCUCAUGACGGUACUGUAAGAGUAAGCACCGGCUAACUACGUGCCAGCAGCCGCGGUAA
rnacentral:rRNA from 1 species